GCGGACGUGGUGGAAUUGGUAGACACGCAUGCCUUAGGAGCAUGUGCCUCACGGCGUGAAGGUUCAAGUCCUUUCGUCCGCACCA
rnacentral:tRNA from 1 species